rnacentral:misc_RNA from 1 species
AAGUCGUAACAAGGUUUCCGUAGGUGAACCUGCGGAAGGAUCAUUAACACGUAUCCAACGUUAAACAACCCUGUGAACUUUCAACCGCUCUUGUAGCCCACGCGGAACAGCAAUCCCGGUAAAUCAAUUGGAGAAAAGGUUUUGAUUCGGGACCUCUGUCCAUCAGGCUACAAUAUGGUUUCCCUAAGCAGGAUCCACUGAGUAAGGAUAACGGUUGCCAGAGGUCGAUCACCGGCCGGCAGACAUGUCACAGGGCUAUAUGCCCCCUCAUUCACACCUUGCCCUAUCUGGCCCCACGGAAACGUUGGGGCACAAACCGAACAACUGUUAACAAUGGAUAUCUUGGUUCUC